rnacentral:rRNA from 1 species
AUAAUCCUGUAGUCGAAAAUGUUGUCUCUCUUGAGUGGAUCCUGAGUACGACGGAGCACGUGAAAUUCCGUCGGAAUCUGGGAGGACCAUCUCCUAAGGCUAAAUACUCUCUAGUGACCGAUAGUGAACCAGUACCGUGAGGGAAAGGUGAAAAGCACCCCGGAAGGGGAGUGAAAUAGAACCUGAAACCGUGUGCUUACAAGUAGUCAGAGCCCGUUAAUGGGUGAUGGCGUGCCUUUUGUAGAAUGAACCGGCGAGUUACGAUUUGAUGCAAGGUUAAGCAGUAAAUGUGGAGCCGUAGCGAAAGCGAGUCUGAAUAGGGCGUUUAGUAUUUGGUCGUAGACCCGAAACCAGGUGAUCUACCCUUGGUCAGGUUGAAGUUCAGGUAACACUGAAUGGAGGACCGAACCGACUUACGUUGAAAAGUGAGCGGAUGAACUGAGGGUAGCGGAGAAAUUCCAAUCGAACCUGGAGAUAGCUGGUUCUCUCCGAAAUAGCUUUAGGGCUAGCCUCAAGUGAUGAUUAUUGGAGGUAGAGCACUGUUUGGACGAGGGGCCCCUCUCGGGUUACCGAAUUCAGACAAACUCCGAAUGCCAAUUAAUUUAACUUGGGAGUCAGAACAUGGGUGAUAAGGUCCGUGUUCGAAAGGGAAACAGCCCAGACCACCAGCUAAGGUCCCAAAAUAUAUGUUAAGUGGAAAAGGAUGUGGCGUUGCCCAGACAACUAGGAUGUUGGCUUAGAAGCAGCCAUCAUUUAAAGAGUGCGUAAUAGCUCACUAGUCGAGUGACACUGCGCCGAAAAUGUACCGGGGCUAAACAUAUUACCGAAGCUGUGGAUUGUCCUUUGGACAAUGGUAGGAGAGCGUUCUAAGGGCGUUGAAGCAUGAUCGUAAGGACAUGUGGAGCGCUUAGAAGC